UUCUCCAAGUCGAUAAGAACUUUGUGCAGGUCCUUCUUCUUAUCCCUGAACUGCUCCACCAGCUCCUGACAAGGUGGAUAGCUUCUGUAGUGGAGCGACCCGGCAUGAAACCAAACUGGUUCACAGAUAUAGAUGUCAUCUCCCUCACCCUCGCCUCGAUCACCCGCUCCCAGACCUUCAUGGUAUGACUAAUUAAUUUGAUACCCCUAUAGUUGUUGCAGCACUGGAUGCCCCCUUUGUUCUUAUACAAGGGCACCACUGUACUCC
rnacentral:lncRNA from 1 species